rnacentral:pre_miRNA from 1 species
AGAGAUUGAUGCAGCCAAGGAUGACUUGCCGGCGGCAUUGGCUCAUGUUCAGGUGUGAUUCCUCCUUGCUACACCGGCAAGUUGUCUUUGGCUAUGUUAAUCUUUCA